rnacentral:rRNA from 1 species
CCUACGCGAGGCAGCAGUGGGGAAUAUUGCACAAUGGGGGAAACCCUGAUGCAGCGACGCCGCGUGAGUGAAGAAGUAUCUCGGUAUGUAAAGCUCUAUCAGCAGGGAAGCAAAUGACGGUACCUGACUAAGAAGCCCCGGCUAACUACGUGCCAGCAGCCGCGGGAAUCCGUAGGGGGCAAGCGUUAUCCGGAUUGACUGGGGGUAAAGGGAUCGUAGACGGCGCUGCAAGUCCGGAGUGAAAGCCCAGUGCUUAACCAUGGGACUGCUCUGGAAACGGUGGAACUUGAGUGCGGGAGGGGCAGGCGGAAUUCCUAGGGUAGCGGUGAAAUGCGUAGAUAUUAGGAGGAACACCGGCGGCGAAGGCGGCCUGCUGGACCGUAACUGACGUUGAGGCUCGAAAGCGUGGGGAGCAAACAGGAUUAGAUACCCCUGUAGUC